rnacentral:tRNA from 1 species
UCCCCGGUGGUCUAGUGGUUAGGAUUUGGCACUUUCACUGCUGCGGCCUGGGUUCAAUCCCUGGUUUGGGAA